rnacentral:piRNA from 1 species
UGAUUUAAAGAAUCUUUAUUUCUUGGGCUU